GCAUAGGUACGUAUGAUCGUAAACGUUCGGGAAAGGCUGCGCAAGCAGCGUGAGUAACCAAGAAAAGCGAAGUCUGAAGCAUCUUCGCGGCGGCGUCGUCCGUCUCGCAGACACGGAACUGUAACAACAUAUAUACCGGAGCUAUCUGUGACGGGUGUGGAACACGCAGCCCGAAACGGAAGUACACACAUAACCAUAUAUGCUCCGGGAACCGACGCCGACGCCGAGGAGGUCGAGGUCGACGAGGAAUACCGAAGAUAGCAGCAGCAGGGGACUCCUGAAAACUGUCCACAGAGUUCAAAGCGGGUGGAUUUCGACUGGGGUGAUGCGGGGAUGUGGAUGAGGAUCGCCUCGGGAGGUGGUCGGGACGGCUGGAGUUCUUGCAGGAUCUUGUUUGUACUGUUUCUGCUGCGCCCUCCGGCUGUUGGAAAAGUUGGCGCAAAUCGUACAGAUGCUGUCGUUGGUGGGUCAUCGGUUGUUUCCCCCGAUCACGUCACGAACGGCAAUCCUGGGGACGCGACGUCGCCCACGGAAUCUGGAAACGACAAGUGCCACAACGCUACCAAUCUUGUCACAGGUGCUGUGAAUAGCAGUGGAGAUUUGACGGGGUUAAAUCAUGGGACGUACCCAUAUCCACCUCUGACCUCGGCAACAUUUUUAAUCGGUGCUUUCACGUGCCAACCGUAUCAUGGAGUUCACAUCAAUCACAUCUACUUCCAACUGGCCAAUGCGUUCUUCCUCUUAUCGCAUCUUGCACCCAGCGGCAUACACGGUGUCCUGUAUCUGCGGUGCACCCUCCUUAUUGGGUGUGCGUUCUUUGCUCUCUGGGGCUGGGCGAUCGCCUGCUGGCUGGAUGCGGCUCUGUGGAACGCGACAUUUGUAGCCAUAAAUUUUCUCCACAUUUGUAUGCUUCUCUACAGACUGCGACCGGUCAAAUUUUCACGAGAAGUUGAGGAGGUCUAUGUUGCGGUGUUUCAACCGCUCAGGGUGUCGCGGCAUCAAUUCAAAAAAGUCCUGAACUGCAUGAAAGGAAUCCGUCAACUGAAGUAUCAAGAAGUUUAUGCUCAGGAGAAAGUCACCAAGGUCGACUCGCUUUCGUUGGUACUUUCUGGGAAACUGGUCGUCUCACAAAACGGGAGAGCGUUGCAUAUAGUUUUUCCACAUCAAUUUCUGGACUCACCCGAAUGGUUUGGAGUUUCCACUGAUGAAUAUUUUCAGGUAUCGAUAACGGCAAUGGAAGAGUCGAGGAUACUUCUUUGGCACCGGGAUAAACUAAAGUUGAGCAUUAUCACUGAUCAAUUUCUUCAAGCUGUGUUUGAUCAUAUCCUAGGAAGAGACGUUGUCAAGAAAUUAAUGCAGGUGAGUGAGACAAUGGCAGCUAGCAGUCUUCACCAGUAUCAAAAUGGACAGGUAGUCAAUCUAGCCGGAGUGCCCAGAGCAGGAACAGGCUCUACGACGACUGAUACCAAUGAUCUUGACACCAAACUCCAGCUGGUAGUGAAAAACACUGGGGACGGCAGCCAAGGAAUUACUGCGCUUAUUAACCGGCAGCUACAAGAAGAAAGAGUGCCGCUGCUGUAUACGAGCCCCGAAGUGCUGAACAACGCCCUUCAUCAUCCUAGGCACCUUCACGCUCCGUACGUUCUCCCGUUGUGCCCGAUUCGCAAUAAUAAUUCCCCAGCAGAAUCCCCAACACACACGUGUGGCACGUAACCCUGCCUCGCCUCAUCACACCUUAUGGUUCUUAUUUUUUACCCGGUUGUUUAAUUAGGCUUACCACGGAUCAAAUACUACUACUGUGCGACGACGGGUGAUCCAAAUGCCUGGCGAUUGGGGAGGAUUGAAGAGACUGAUCACGAAACACCCGUCUAACAAGAGAUGUCCAACCCUGGCAAGCCUGGUAGAAGAAACCAACAAAAAACCCGGUUACCAGCCCCCUCAUGCCCUACAAUGUGUAUAUACUAUCUCCAUUCUAAAAUGGAAUUAGUGUAAUACAAGUGAAACAAAAACGCUACAGUGUUCAGAUGUGCCUGGCUGCAGAUGUUACGCUGCAGGCUAUGGAACCGUGCGUGUGUGCGUACAUAUGUGUGUUGAGUUUUCUUGUUAUGUUUAUAUUCUGAGAACUAGUCAAAAUUUUGUGAUCCAACAUUAUUAUUCAAUCGGCAUACAGCUGUCAUUGCGUUUGUAUUAUUGUAAAUUACAUUAUAUGUCUGUGCGUGUGUGACUACUUGAUGCUUCCAGUUAUUAUUUCAUAUGUUUUUUAGUCAAUUAAAGUGUAUGAUAUCUCCACAUUGUGAAAACGGUAAUAUGAAUGAUUUAACAGAGAUUACAUGGUAUUGCUAUUUUUGGUCUAUCGGAACAGACAAUGUGUAUAAAUAAAUACAUCCAAUUGUUAUAAUACUCCAAAGGAAUAA